ACGGGAGGCAGCAGUGAGGAAUAUUGGUCAAUGGGCGAGAGCCUGAACCAGCCAAGUAGCGUGCAGGAUGACGGCCCUCUGGGUUGUAAACUGCUUUUAGUUGAGAAUAAAAGAGAGGACGUGUCCUCUGUAUUGUAUGUACCAUCAGAAAAAGGACCGGCUAAUUCCGUGCCAGCAGCCGCGGUAAUACGGAAGGUCCAGGCGUUAUCCGGAUUUAUUGGGUUUAAAGGGAGCGUAGGCGGGUCUUUAAGUCAGUGGUCAAAGCGUGUGGCUCAACCAUACCACGCCAUUGAUACUGGAGACCUUGAGUGCACAUAAGGAUGGUGGAAUUCGUCGUGUAGCGGUGAAAUGCUUAGAUAUGACGAAGAACUCCGAUUGCGAAGGCAGCUGUCCGGGGUGUAACUGACGCUAAUGCUCGAAAGUGCGGGUAUCAAACAGGAUUAGAUACCCUGGUA
rnacentral:rRNA from 1 species